rnacentral:rRNA from 1 species
UACGAAGGGUGCAAGCGUUACUCGGAAUUACUGGGCGUAAAGCGUGCGUAGGUGGUUUGUUAAGUCUGUUGUGAAAGCCCCGGGCUCAACCUGGGAAUGGCAAUGGAUACUGGCAAGCUAGAGUGCGGUAGAGGGUAGUGGAAUUCCCGGUGUAGCGGUGAAAUGCGUAGAGAUCGGGAGGAACACCAGUGGCGAAGGCGGCUACCUGGACCAAGCACUGACACUGAGGCACGAAAGCGUGGGGAGCAAACAGG